UACGUAGGUGGCAAGCGUUGUUCGGAAUUAUUGGGCGUAAAGGGCGCGUAGGCGGUUUGUUAAGUCGGUUGUGAAAGCCCGGGGCUCAACCCCGGAGAGUCGACCGAUACUGGCAGACUAGAGUACAGAAGAGGUAGCUGGAAUUCCUGGUGUAGCGGUGAAAUGCGUAGAUAUCAGGAGGAACACCUGAGGCGAAGGCGGGCUACUGGGCUGAUACUGACGCUGAUGCGCGAAAGCCAGGGGAGCAAACGGG
rnacentral:rRNA from 1 species